CGCGUAGGAAUCUACCCAGUAGAGGGGAGUAGCCGGGAACCCGGAACUUAAUACCGCAUAAUCUCUAUGGAGUAAAGGGGCGUUCGGCUCUCGCUAUUGGAUGAGCCUGCGUGGGAGUUAGCUAGUUGGUGAGGUAAAGGCUCACCAAGGCGACGAUCUCUAGCUGGUCUGAGAGGAUGAUCAGUCACACUGGAACUGAGACACGGUCCAGACUCCUACGGGAGGCAGCAGUGGGGAUAUUGCACAAUGGGCGCAAGCCUGAUGCAGCCAUGCCGCGUGUGUGAAGAAGGCCUCGGUUGU
rnacentral:rRNA from 1 species